rnacentral:lncRNA from 1 species
AGGGUCUGAUCUCUGCACCCCGGGCCCCCGCGCAGACCCGCGGACGAGCGCUGGGUGGGGAUUUCAACCUGCUCCAGCUGAUGUGCGCGGGGUUUGCACCCCGGGGAGGCGAGGGAGAGAGUCCGGCCACGUCCUGCCAGGCCCCGCCCGCGCCCCCGCUGCCCUCCAGCGCGGAACCCAGGUCCCAGGAGACGCGAGGCGCCCAAGGCCCCGGGAUUCCGAGCCAGUCAACCCCGGGCCGCGACGCUCUGGGAACCACACCCGUCCAGGAAGGCACCUUGGCCAAAGCCGGCUCCUUCGCAGAUGACCCGGGCCAGGGUCCGAGCGCCAGGCUGUGACCCCGCGAGGCUGUUCCACGCUGGCCGCGAGAGACGGAGGGCAGGAGGGGCCCGAAUAGGACAGAGAGAGAGAGAGAGAGAGACAGAAGGAGGCGCACGCGCUCCCCAGGGACCGGGACGCGGUGGUGGGCGGGACCUCGCGGGGGUGGGGGGUGGUCGCAGGACCCAGAAGGCUCAGGACCUUUACGGAUAGGGAGGACCCCGCAGGGGGGAGCGGGGGAGCCCCACGCCCGGCGUCCUCCGGGUGCGAGGGUCUCGGGGAGUCCGAGCCCGGGCCCACGGCCUCUGUCCCGCGGCCACUACCUGCUGGGGGUCCCGGGCCUGGGCCACGCCGGGCUGCCCUCGGGGACUUGCUGCGGCCGUUGAGGGGUCUCCGCGCGCCGCGCAGACUCGCCUCCCAACCCGAGGGCCCGGGCGGCCGCCGCCCAGAGCGUCCAGCGGCAGCGUCUUGCUCUCGAAGGCGUCCUCCACGCAGCGGAACACGCAGCCAAGCUUGGGCCGGGCCAGAGGCCUCGCGGGCUCCUGAGGCUGCCGCGCGGUCACGGCAGGAGCGGGCGACAGAAUCCGGUCUCGGAGCCUCCUGUAGCGAGCCACAGGAGGGAGCCUCCCAGGUGGUCGACCGGAGCCAGGUGCUGCCAGGCACCCGACUGCAGAGCUUGCCCUCCAGGUGAUCUCGCAGUAUCGGUGUUCACAAGCCCUGUAAGGCACUCGGGGUAUCCUGAAGGCUACAGAUUCUGCAAGGGCAGAGACUUUAAGGAACAGCCAUAGUCCUUCUCCAGCUCAAAAUCUGGACCAUGGGCACAAGGUAAACAACACACUGGUGUCAACAAAGGAAUCUGCUAUUUAUGUGGAUUUUUACUUUAGACAAACUAAAGUAUCUAUGUUGUUCUGUGUGUUGAACACAGAGUGUGAUGAUGUUAAUAUAAUGUAAAUGUUGAUGUAACAGUACAUUUCUGGCAACAUUUCAGGGUCCUUCCUCUUGCCUUAUUAGGGGGUGAUGCAUUCAUACAGACUUCCCCUGUUAGAAGAGCUAGCAGUAAGACAGCCCAAGUACUUGGAGGAAAUUCACUCUAGCCCAUUGGUUUGGAAAAGAAGGUAUAGCCUGCAAUUUAGAAAUGCACCUUAUUUUUAAAUACUUGAAUUCUGCUGCUGCUCACUGGACCAGGAGGAGUCAGUGAUAAAUGCUCAUAUUUACCUUUUUGGGGGCAAAAACCCAGUUCUGAAAUGCUGGGUAUUGUAAUCAGAUGUAAAGAAGGUGCCUAUGAUAGACGAGUGAAAACAAUGAUAUCUAAGGAGAGGAACUGACGCUCCAACUAGAUGUGUGCUUUCAGGAAUGGGGCAGAGACGCGAUGCAGUUUGGAUGUUAUUCAGCACAUUCCUUGCACCUUCUCCCGUUCCUAUAUACAUACUUUUUACAUAUAAACAAUUACAACUUCAUAAGGAUUUGGUACAUAUUUACAUGCUUCUCUUUGCCGUAUAGUUUGCCUUAUUAUUAUUACAGAACUGUGAUUAAGAGUGUCUGUGGUGGAUAGAGGUGUAUGAAGUGCUCCAGACAUAUAUACAACAUGCUAAACCAUGAUGACCCAAAUAAACAUGAGGGAUGUGA